CUUUGAUACCCUUUUUCCCACCUGUGUUUGUGGGAAGUUUACUUUGUUUAGGGCACGUAGUCUUUGAGCUUCACAGUUUGUUUUUGUAGUGUUAUUUGUUUUUGUUCGGCGUCAUUUUGAUUAAUAAAAGGAAAAUGUACGCACACCACGUUGCACCUUGGUCCUCUCCUUUCAACAGCCGUGACAGCAAAGAGGCACUGAGUUUGAAGGCAAACCCAGGGAAAAUUAAACAAGCACUUUCUGGUCAUUAAUCUGGAUAUGUGCGCCCGCCUUUGACGGCCAACGAUGAUGAGUGGCCAACGAUGAUGAGUGGCCAACGAUGAUGAGUGGCCAACGAUGAUGAGUGGCCAACGAUGAUGAGUGGCCA
ensembl:lncRNA